CAACGCCGCCGCGCCGCACGCACGCCGCCGCUCGCGACGAUCGGAACUUGUGUGAUCGAAACUGUUGUGAAGAUGGUGUUGACUGACUUUUUGACGGAGACUCGGAGGAGGUGGUUGAAGGCUUUCAAGCUGUUCAAAAGAAGCAAAAGCCGCAAGAGCGCCCGCAACCGCAUCUCGCCGCUCGUCCGCUCACUGCCAUCAUACCCGGCACCGUCGACGCUCGCUCAGAGAUCCAC
rnacentral:misc_RNA from 1 species